rnacentral:lncRNA from 1 species
UUUGUUAUAUAUAUAUGUGUGCGUGAUUGUGUCGUACUGUGCAUGUUGUGUCUAUAGUAAAUGAUAAAUGUUAGUUGAAAUAGUUGGUUUCGGCAUUGUGAAGUUUGUUGGGCAUGCUAUGUCUAUCGUACAUGAAAACUAUUAGUACUAUCGAUUACUAGUAUUCUAUCAUAUUUUCAGAUAUGUUGUACAAUUAAUUAAUUUAGUAGAAUAACGUGUAUACCAUAAGCCUAAUUGAAGUAGUAUAGACUACGGUUUGUUUUGUG